rnacentral:rRNA from 1 species
GACGAACGCUGGCGGCGUGCCUAAUCCAUGCAAGUAGGACGCAGUUGCGAACGGGUGAGUAACGCGUAGGUAACUGCCCAUUAGAGGGGGAUAACUAUUGGAAACGAUAGCUAAUACCGCAUACUAGUAGAUGGAACUGCGUUGUAUUAGCUAGUAGGUAGGGUAAUGGCCUACCUAGGCGACGAUACAUAGCCGACCUGAGAUGGUGAUCGGCCACACUGGGACUGGGACACGGCCAAGACUCCUACUGGAGGACGCAGUAGGGAAUCGUCGGCAAUGGGGGGAACCCUGACCGAGCAACGCCGCGUGAGUGAAGAAGGUUUUCGGAUCGUAAAGCUCUGUUGUUAAGGAAGCGGUACUUAACCAUAAAGGGACGGCUAACUACGUGCCAGCAGCCGCGGUAAUUC